AUGACACUGCACUACCCUAUAGCUGUGGGCCUCAACAAGGGCCACAAGGUGACCAAGAAUGUGAGCAAGCCCAGGCACAGCCACUGUGGGCGCCUGACCAAACUCACUAAAUUUGUGUGGGACAUGAUCCCAGAGGUGUGUGGCUUCACCCCUAACGAGUGGCGUGGCAUGGAGUUACUGAAGGUCUCCAAGGUCAAACAGGCCCUCAAAUUCAUCAAGAAAAGGGUAGGGACAAACAUCUGCACCAAGAGAAGGCAGGAGGAGCUGAGCAACGUCCUGGCUGCCAUGAGGAAAGCAGCUGCCAAGAAGGACUGA
rnacentral:lncRNA from 1 species